GACGAACGCUGGCGGCGUGCUUAACACAUGUAAGUCGAACGGAAAGGCCCUGCUUUUGUGGGGUGCUCGAGUGGCGAACGGGUGAGUAACACGUGAGUAACCUGCCCUUGACUUUGGGAUAACUUCAGGAAACUGGGGCUAAUACCGGAUAGGAGCUCCUGCUGCAUGGUGGGGGUUGGAAAGUUUCGGCGGUUGGGGAUGGACUCGCGGCUUAUCAGCUUGUUGGUGGGGUAGUGGCUUACCAAGGCUUUGACGGGUAGCCGGCCUGAGAGGGUGACCGGCCACAUUGGGACUGAGAUACGGCCCAGACUCCUACGGGUGGCAGCAGUGGGGAAUAUUGCACAAUGGGCGGAAGCCUGAUGCAGCAACGCCGCGUGCGGGAUGACGGCCUUCGGGUUGUAAACCGCUUUCGCCUGUGACGAAGCGUGAGGGACGGUAAUGGGUAAAGAAGCACCGGCUAACUACGU
rnacentral:rRNA from 1 species